CUGAACCAGCCAAGUAGCGUGAAGGAUGACUGCCCUAUGGGUUGUAAACUUCUUUUAUAUGGGAAUAAAGUUGUCCACGUGUGGAUUUUUGUAUGUACCAUAUGAAUAAGGAUCGGCUAACUCCGUGCCAGCAGCCGCGGUAAUACGGAGGAUCCGAGCGUUAUCCGGAUUUAUUGCGUUUAAAGGGAGCGUAGGUGGAUUGUUAAGUCAGUUGUGAAAGUUUGCGG
rnacentral:rRNA from 1 species